rnacentral:rRNA from 1 species
AACGAACGCUGGCGGCAGGCUUAACACAUGCAAGUCGAGCGCAUCCUUCGGGGUGAGCGGCGGACGGGUGAGUAACGCGUGGGAACGUGCCCUCUUCUACGGAAUAGCCUCGGGAAACUGAGAGUAAUGCCGUAUACGCCCGCAAGGGGAAAGAUUUAUCGGAGGAGGAUCGGCCCGCGUUGGAUUAGGGAGUUGGUGGGGUAACGGCCUACCAAGCCGACGAUCCAUAGCUGGUUUGAGAGGAUGAUCAGCCACACUGGGACUGAGACACGGCCCAGACUCCUACGGGAGGCAGCAGUGGGGAAUCUUGGACAAUGGGGGCAACCCUGAUCCAGCCAUGCCGCGUGAUCGAUGAAGGCCUUAGGGUUGUAAAGAUCUUUCAGCUGGGAAGAUAAUGACGGUACCAGCAGAAGAAGCCCCGGCUAACUCCGUG